UACGAAGGGGACUAGCGUUGUUCGGAAUCACUGGGCGUAAAGCGCACGUAGGCGGAUGUGUCAGUCAGGGGUGAAAUCCCGGGGCUCAACCUCGGAGCUGCCUUUGAUACAGCACGUCUCGAGUCCGGAAGAGGUGGGUGGAAUUCCUAGUGUAGAGGUGAAAUUCGUAGAUAUUAGGAAGAACACCGAUGGCGAAGGCAAUCCCCUGGACCUGUACUGACGCUCAUGCACGAAAGCGUGGGGAGCAAACAGG
rnacentral:rRNA from 1 species